UUCCUACGGGGGGCAGCAGUGGGGAAUAUUGGGCAAUGGGCGCGAGCCUGACCCAGCAACGCCGCGUGAAGGAAGAAGGCUUUCGGGUUGUAAACUUCUUUUAUGAGGGACGAAAGAAAUGACGGUACCUCAUGAAUAAGCCACGGCUAACUACGUGCCAGCAGCCGCGGUAAUACGUAGGUGGCAAGCGUUAUCCGGAUUUACUGGGUGUAAAGGGCGUGUAGGCGGGACUGCAAGUCAGAUGUGAAAACUAUUGGCUCAACCCAUAACCUGCAUUUGAAACUGUAG
rnacentral:rRNA from 1 species